GUGACCGAGGUGGGGCAGAGCGACAGAACUGUGAUACUGCUGAUAAUCAAAAGAAAUGAACUGGAUGAGCUGACACAAGAUUUGGUACAGACAUUCAUGGUCCUAGUGGAGAUCCUCUGACUUUUCCUGCAGCACCACCAUCAGGGAACCCAGAGUUUUUGUGGAUGGGGAGCAGAGCUGCAUAGCAACACCACAGCACUUCCUGUUGGGCCGGGUGUUGAACGCCGGUGCCCGUUGUUCACCGCAGUGCCCCCUCUGCCUUUAGAAAAGCAGCCUGGAAGCAGUUCACUUACAAUUGGCUUUGUGUUUCACUGUGAGGAGAAGAGAAAUGAGCGGAAAGGCAAAGCACCCUCAGUUCACUGCACUUUUUAACAGACAAGAACCUCUAUAUUAUUUAAUGAAUGGGUUUCUGAGGGCCAACAUUAAAGCUUGGGGAAUGAUGAUGCUGAUGGCUGAGCAUAGCUAUGAUAAUUCAACUUUUGAAUUUGGCUGUUUGUUGAACAUAAAUGGAAAUAUGGAAAUAUUCAGCCCUUUCACUAAAGAUUUUCUUUUUGCCAGGGCGAAAACCCUCUAAAACAUAUAGAACAUGUCAAAAAGUUAUUUUCAGUAAGAAAAUAUUGUAAGAUAUGCUGUAAAUGGAUAAUGUGGCCCGGUUGUUCACUCUGCAGAGUUAUGUGAAUAUAGGGAUAAAGUUUGAAGUGGUUUUACAGGUAUAACUACACGGGCCUGCUGGGUUAAUCAACAUAAGCAGCUUAAACAUGUUCAGAUGUUUACUUGACAUGCCUUUAAUGAGCUUGGACAACCCAGAGACUGUAGUGUAGAGACAGACACAAGCAUACACAGGUUAAUCCAAACAAAACAAAUCCAGGCAGUUAAGCAAAAAUUUAUUCAAAACCUACAGGAACAAACAAUUAGAUAAAUGCUAGAAAGCAACAAACACACGAGGAGCGAUAAAGACAAUCUGGCAGAGGAACAGGGAAAUCAGGGGAGUAUAUGAGGUCUCAUGAUGGGAAUACCAUAUGCACUACAUUGUAUACAAAAAAUAGCAAUAAAUCUCACUUUUAAUCAUUUCUGCUUCCAUGGUCAUGUGACCAAUUCUAGUUUAGUGUUUAGCGUACACUCAUAUUGAAAAGAAAAAGUUAAUCAUAGUACAACUCCAAAAAAAUGAAAAGCUGUGGAAAAUGUAAACAAAAUGUGAUUAGUCGAUUAGAGGAAUUUCUGCACAUCUGGGGCAAAGCUAAACACUUUGGCAAACCGUUGUCAGUAAGCACAUUUUGUCAUCUACAGUACAAGUUAGGGUAACUUGCACGUCUGUGAAGGUGUGCUGAAAGGUGCACGCAGAAACAUAUGCUGCCAUCCAGACAGCCUCCGUCAGGACGUCAGUGGCAAAGCCCAGUCACAUGCUGCACGUGCUGCAGCAGGGAAACAGUGUGGGUACUGAACUGGCCUGCUGCAGUCCAACCUGCCUGGUAAGUACACAGCGGUAAACAUGAACCAGUUCCAACUUUUUUGGAAGGUGAUACAUGCAUCAAAUUCAAAAUUGAGAAUCUAUAUUUACAAAACACGAUAAAGAUCAAAUGUCUUACCUUUGUACUGUAUCUACUGCUAUUAAAGCUAAUGUCAUUUCAUGUGCUCCGCUGAUGACUUACUAAUCAU